rnacentral:misc_RNA from 1 species
AACGCAUCUUGCGCUUUUUGAAACAUUUGUUUCAAGAAGCAUGUCUGUUUGAGUGUUGUUAAAUUCUCAGUUUGAACAUUGUUUUAUAAUAGUGUUUUAAAUUGGACUUUGGAAGUUGCUGGAUUAUAUAUAUAUUAAAUCAGCUCUUCUAAAAUUUAUUAGCAAAAUUCAGACUUUUGAAUUUCUCUAGUAUAAUAAUUUCUUGUACUAUUGAAUUCAGCCAUUUUAUUUAUAAAUUGGAUAGUUGUUUGUGCUAUAUAAUAUUAAUAAUUUAAUAUAUUCAACCUCAAAUCAGAUAGGACUACCCGCUGAACUUAA